UUGCGGUCAUAUCCCGUUGAAACAUCCGUUCUCGUACGACCACCGAAGUUAAGUAACGGCGAGCCAGGUUAUUACCUAGAUGGGUGACCGCUUGGGAAUAUCAGUUGCUGUAAGC